rnacentral:lncRNA from 1 species
CAAUGAUGCUAGUCGGUCUAAAAGUUCCAAGCAUUCAAAAUCUACUCCAAAACAGAAGUUCCAUGAUCGAAAUCGGCAAUGGAAUAACUUUCCAACAUCGAUGUCGUUUUUAUCACAUGGAUCAUUCAUGCCUAUGCAACGGGGCCUUACUAUAAUAUGCCAAUGGCCUUCUCAUAAUUCAUGGAUGUGGUCUCCUCCUAGAUAAUUUUCUCCGG